rnacentral:rRNA from 1 species
AGAGUUUGAUCAUGGCUCAGGAUGAACGCUGGCGGCGUGCCUAACACAUGCAAGUCGUACGAGCUCGAUCUUCGGAACGGGUUAGUGGCGCACGGGUGAGUAACACGUAGGUGACCUACCCCAGAGUGGGGGAUAACUUCUCGAAAGAGAGGCUAAUACCGCAUACACUCGGUCAUUCAUUUGGCCGAGCAAAGCUCCGGCGCUUUGGGACGGGCCUGCGUCCGAUUAGCUAGUUGGUAGGGUAAUGGCUUACCAAGGGCUUUGAUCGGUAGCUGGUCUGAGAGGACGAUCAGCCACACUGGCACUGACACACGGGCCAGACUCCUACGGGAGGCAGCAGUGAGGAAUAUUGGGCAAUGGGCGAAAGCCUGACCCAGCAACGCCGCGUGAGGGAUGAAGGCCUUCGGGUUGUAAACCUCUUUUCUGGGAGAAGAGACAAGGACGGUAUCCCAGGAAUAAGUCUCGGCUAACUACGUG